GGGAGAUGCAGUUCUUCCACCACUCUUCCUGGGUCGGCCUGCAAUUCCCAUGAUACCGCGCGCCCGGAACGUGUUCUGGCGAUCGCCCUAACCCGUUCUGCCUUUAGGAGUUCGGUCCCCCUGCUGGGACAGGAGGAGGCGCGGGGCGGGUCCCACGGGCUCCCCUAGGGAAGAGCCCCGAGCUGGGGAUUAGCGAGCACGAGGCAGGCUGCCAAAGGGCCCCGACCCUGCAGGGAAACCCACGUGGUGCCCAGCCCCGUUGGGGCUCCUUGCGGGCGCUGGGCUUCGUGGAGGGCGCUGCGGGACAUGAAGUUUCCCCAAGCGCGUGAAGGGACCCAGCUCAUCUGCCUGCACCAAUGCUGUGUCAUUCCUCCUGCUGCAGACCGGCCACGUAGGGGUUGCUGCUCAUAACUGUGCCAGCGUGCAGUGGAGUGAAAUUAACUAAAGCACAGAUUUCAGCCUUACUCUUUCAGUAACUCCGCAAUGUGUGUGCUGUAGGGCCAGGGCCGGCACCAGGCACCCAAGCACAUGCUUGGGGCGGCACCUGUGCACUCCUUCACGUCUCAGGCUUUGUACGUUCAUCUCUCCUGGAAUGGAAUCAUGCAAUUCUCCCACUCUAAAGGCUGGGCCCAAGACUACAGACCUUCAGCUUCUGAAAGUGAAACCAUGACACCAGGAGGGCAGAAGCAGCACCCCACAGACAACAGGAGGCAGACAGAGAAGGACCCUGAAAGAGCAGCUCACAAGGAUGGAUAGGAGAAACCAGGAGCAGUUUGAAUUCCUCAGGAUGUGGGAGGAGUGGGAUAUUCAGCAAGAAGAGACACUGAUGAACUGGUUCAUGGAGCAGGCAGCACAUAUAGGGAAUGGGAGCAUUCCUUAAUGGAGAGGCUCAUUGAACUGGUAGUCGAAUGAGUUUGGGUUCUGCUGAGGCCACAGAACCAGAAACUGCCACCUCCUCCUCCUCCAGCUGUUGCCCAGGGUGCUGCUGAGCCAUGGAAUCCUGAUUCAAGAACCCCCCCCCCCAAGUGACCUGAAAGAGAACAUGGAAACUGCAGGAUUCCCAGGACCUCAUCCUCCAUCAGCACCUGAAACCCCUCACAGGGGAAUCCACCUGAGAUUCCAGGAGGUGAACAAUCAGCCUGUGGGAGUCUCUGAAUCUCACCAAGUGCCUGCCCCCAAAUCCCUCUCAGAGGAUAUCCCAGGUUUUUCCUGAAUCACUUUUCCCUGUUGUAUCCCCUUUUGUCAGGAGGAGGGCAAGGAGAUGAGUGCAGAGACAUUUGGGCAGUGUUCCCACUUGCAUUCCCUUUAUUUUUUAAAGAUUUGUUGCUGACCUUUCUUGUUAAAAAAUAUUUCAAUUAAACAUUCCAUCUAAUACUUUUGAUAAAUGUUAUAUUUUCCUUGACAUGUGUAUGGCCCCUCCUUCCUAAGUAUGAUGAACUGAAGAUAUUUUGAGGCUCAGAACUGGGCACAUAAGGUCAUUGAGAGAGAUUGAGUGCUCCUGAUAACAGAGGUUUGUAAGCAAGUGUGACUAAUCAAGAUAAAAUCACUGAACACUGUGCAACUUGGUCUCCACCUUCCACUUGACAAGCCCAACCCCAAAGUGAUAAACCAAGGAAGAUAUAUUGUGAUGAUUGUCUUAAAUGUGUGCAAUGUCACUGUGUCACGGAAAGGCUAACAACCUUUUGCUACAGGGGAACAAAACCCUCACAAAACUGUGUAGCUCCACAAGUAUGUACCAAUGAUUCCUCGCAUGUAUUCCAGCAGCUGUACAGGAUAUGAAGGUGUCCAGCCACACUGGCAGAUGUAAUUUUCUGUCUCCCUGCUGUGCCAAGAUAUGUGCACAUAUGGCAUCCCUGAUUUCCCUCGCCUACUGAGAACUAGGACCAGUUUGCACCUGGAUGGGAUCUGGCUGCCUGUUCAGAGUUUAUAAACUGGACUUGUCUUGAGCCCAUCUGGGACAGAAAUACUCUCCGUUUAUCCUCACAAACAUUAUGCAACAGCAGGUGAUGCCAGAUUGGCAUCCAGAUGAGUGCAUAGGCACAGCCUAUGAGGUUUCAGCAUACCAUGACAAUUCUACAGCUACUAAGCUUGUAGCUGAAUUCCCGUUUUCCAGGGUUAUUGCCGUCAGGGUAUAGUUUCAUGAGCCAAGGCAGGAGUGGAUAUUUGGGGUCCCCCAAAAUAACAGUUUUUUAUAUAUCUCACUAUACAGAACAAUAUUGUUUCUGGGAAAUAAUACAUCCUGGCAUUUUGAAUCUUUCCAGAGUUUCCUGCACUUGUAUUCAUGAAUCUGCCUCUGUGGUCCGCUAAGCCUUGUAGAAUGAGUGUAUACUAACCUUUUUGGUUCAAAUACUCACUUGCUCCAUGUGGUGGGCAAAGUACUAGGAUAUGGGUGUGAUGGGUUGGACCACAGAAACCCCCUUGGGAACUGCCACCUGAUGUGCCAAGACUACUACUGCCCCUGCUUUCCCUGCCAGCUUGGGACUCCAGUACCU